rnacentral:lncRNA from 1 species
GUAAUAUCAUGUAAGGUGGGUGUGGGCCAUCAGCAAGCACCCAGUUCAGGUCCUCCUCCUUCUCGACCACAUGUAUCACCCCUGUGUCUCCACUGAUGGACGACUGGCAGCCGAUCUGGUGUGUAGCAUUCAGAAGACGAACACACGGCGCCGUUUUGUUCAGGGGGAUGUAGAUCUUCUUCUCAACCGAAUUCCCCUCGCAGGAGCCCGCCACCAGCAAGGCGAGAAGCAGCGCCGGCAGCGGCCCGCACCAAGCCGGGAGCGAGAUCCAGCAGCUCCCUACAACAGCCGUCAUUCCCCGCCUGCCC